AUUGAACGCUGGCGGCAGGCCUAACACAUGCAAGUCGAACGGUAACAGGGAGCAGCUUGCUGCUUCGCUGACGAGUGGCGGACGGGUGAGUAAUGUCUGGGAAGCUGCCUGAUGGAGGGGGAUAACUACUGGAAACGGUAGCUAAUACCGCAUAAUGUCGCAAGACCAAAGAGGGGGACCUUCGGGCCUCUUGCCAUCGGAUGUGCCCAGAUGGGAUUAGCUUGUUGGUGGGGUAACGGCUCCCCAAGGCGACGAUCCCUAGCUGGUCUGAGAGGAUGACCAGCCACACUGGAACUGAGACACGGUCCAGACUCCUACGGGAGGCAGCAGUGGGGAAUAUUGCACAAUGGGCGCAAGCCUGAUGCAGCCAUGCCGCGUGUAUGAAGAAGGCCUUCGGGUUGUAAAGUACUUUCAGCGGGGAGGAAGGGAGUAAAGUUAAUACCUUUGCUCAUUGACGUUACCCGCAGAAGAAGCACCGGCUAACUCCGUG
rnacentral:rRNA from 1 species